AACGAACGCUGGCGGCGUGGAUUAGGCAUGCAAGUCGAACGGAACUUCUAGCUUUUUCGGAAGUUUAGUGGCGAAAGGGUGAGUAACACGUGGGUUACCUGCCCUAGGGUUCGGGAUAACCUGUCGAAAGACGGGCUAAUACCGGAUACGUCCUGCACUUUUCGAAGUGCAGGGGAAAGAUGGGGGAUCCGUAAGGACCUAUCACCCUUGGAUGGGCCCGCGGCCUAUCAGCUAGUUGGUGAGGUAAUGGCUCACCAAGGCUAAGACGGGUAGCUGGUCUGAGAGGAUGGUCAGCCACACUGGAACUGAGACACUGUCCAGACACCUACGGGUGGCUGCAGUCGAGAAUCUUUCGCAAUGGGGGAAACCCUGACGACGCGACGCCGCGUGGAGGAUGAAGGCCUGGUGUAACUCCUGUCAGCAGGGGAGAACGAAGUUGUCGGUGAAUAAUCGAUAGCUUUGACAGUACCUGCAGAGGAAGCCACGGCUAACUCUGUGCCAGCAGCC
rnacentral:rRNA from 1 species